UACGGAGGGAGCUAGCGUUGUUCGGAAUUACUGGGCGUAAAGCGUACGUAGGCGGUUAUUCAAGUCAGAGGUGAAAGCCUGGAGCUCAACUCCAGAACUGCCUUUGAAACUAGAUAGCUAGAAUCUUGGAGAGGUGAGUGGAAUUCCGAGUGUAGAGGUGAAAUUCGUAGAUAUUCGGAAGAACACCAGUGGCGAAGGCGACUCACUGGACAAGUAUUGACGCUGAGGUACGAAAGCGUGGGGAGCAAACAGGAUUAGAUACCCUGGUAGUCCACGCCGUAAACGAUGAUAACUAGCUGUUCGGGCUCUACGAGCUUGAGUGGCGCAGCUAACGCAUUAAGUUAUCCGCCUGGGGAGUACGGUCGCAAGAUUA
rnacentral:rRNA from 1 species